rnacentral:lncRNA from 1 species
GCCGGGCGUGGUGGCGGGCACCUGUAAUCCCAGCUAUUUGGGAGGCUGAGGCAGGAGAAUGGCGUGAACCCGGGAGGCGGAGCUUGCAGUGAGCAGAGAUCGCGCCACUGCACUCCAGCCUGGGCGAAAGAGUGAGACUCUGUCUCAAAAAAAAAAAAAAAUGUCCUUCUAUAAGAUCUCACUGUGUUGCCCAGGUUGGAGUACAGUGGCUCAAUCUUGGCUCACUGCAGCCUUAACCUCCCAGAUUCAAGCAAUCCUCCC